AUGUCAUGCCCCUCUGGCGUGGAAGAUGUUGGCUCUAUGGAGGAAGGCAGACAAGAGUUAUAUGGAUGUUUCUCCCCUCGUGUUGAGAACGGUUCAUCGUCACUCUCGGGCAAGUCCAUUGUCGUGCUUGAUGCUCCGGUGUUGCAGGUCAUGCCCGAGCUACGAGAGCUAUGUCUUAGCCCUGGUUCGCCUCUCUCUGUAGAGCAUUUGGAGGUGGUCUCAUCGACGGCCUCGUGUGAGGGGCAUGUGUUGCCAAAGUCAUGUGAGCAACUGGAGGUGCCUAAGUCCAUUGCAUUGGCGGUUCAUGUGGUCGAUGAGGUUGCGUCGGUGAUUCCUUUGGUUGAGGUUGUUGAUGCGGUCAGUGUGUUGAUGCCUGCUCCUGGCGGCGUCUUGGUUGAUGACAACGAAACUAAAAAAUUCAAUGAGUUUUAUGAUUUUCUUGACAAAUGGGUGGCUCAUCAGCCGGUAUCCAGCAAGACAAGUGACCCUCCAAAGAAGAAGUCAACUAAGGAGAAACCAAAGAAGAAGAAAAACAAGAAGUGUGGCGCCAUCCGAAAGGCGUCUGUGGUUCCAUGA
rnacentral:rRNA from 1 species